rnacentral:RNase_P_RNA from 1 species
GUAAACCGAGGACAGCUACUGGUUAUUUGUUAACUUAGGAAACUCCAUCCACCAUAGAGAACUAUAGUGUUGAAAAACAUAUACUGAGAAGUAUGACACUGGAGCAGAAACGACACGUCUUUUAAUGGAUGACAAUGAUGUGUAACGGAUGGACAUUAAAAGGAUCGGUGAAACGGCUAAUCUAUAGGGUGCAAGAGCAAAUGUGCUGAUGACAACUCUCGAGGCAAGGUAGUUCGCAAAGAUGAAUGCUGUUAAACAGAAGAUGGGUUAUUUCGGUAUAC